GACGUAGGGCGCGAGCGUUGUCCGGAAUUACUGGGCGUAAAGAGCUCGUAGGUGGUUUGUCGCGUUGUUCGUGAAAACCGGGGGCUUAACCCUCGGCGUGCGGGCGAUACGGGCAGACUGGAGUACUGCAGGGGAGACUGGAAUUCCUGGUGUAGCGGUGGAAUGCGCAGAUAUCAGGAGGAACACCGGUGGCGAAGGCGGGUCUCUGGGCAGUAACUGACGCUGAGGAGCGAAAGCGUGGGGAGCGAACAGG
rnacentral:rRNA from 1 species